rnacentral:rRNA from 1 species
CGUGGAGGAUGAAGGUUUUAGGAUUGUAAACUCCUUUUGUGAGAGAAGAUAAUGACGGUAUCUCACGAAUAAGCACCGGCUAACUCCGUGCCAGCAGCCGCGGUAAUACGGAGGGUGCAAGCGUUACUCGGAAUCACUGGGCGUAAAGAGUGCGUAGGCGGGAAGGUAAGUCAGAUGUGAAAUCCUAUGGCUUAACCAUAGAACUGCAUUUGAAACUAUCUUUCUAGAGUGUGGGAGAGGUAGGUGGAAU